AUCAAUCUUGAGCCAGUGAGACUCGAACUGCCAAGAGUCAGCAGAAUUAGCCUGCAAUACUACAUUCUAACCUCUGCACCACAUCCAUUAUCAGGUUCCACCUCUCCUUGUUUCCCUUUUCUGAUUGCCAACAGAGAAGCAUUAAGUUUGUGAUUUAUAUGAGAGUCAAUGGGGCGUUUACUGUGGGAUUAGAAAGAUUAGAAAGAAGGCAGAACAUAGAAUAAUAGGGUUGGAAGAGAUCUCAGAAGUCUUCUAGCCAACUCCCUGCUCGAACAGGAGACCUUAUAUCAUUUCAGAUAAAUCUCCUUCAGUUAUGGAGCACCCACAGCUUCUGAAGGCAAGUUAUUCCAUUGGUUAAUUGCUUUCACCAUUAGGCAAUUUCUCCUUAGUUCUAGGCUGCCUCCCUCCUUGGUUCAUUUCCAAUCAUGGAUGGAGGGGUUCCAGCAAUAACCAAGGACUUCCCAUUUUGUUUCCAGAAUACAAUAAGGAAUUGAGUACAGGAAUAAAAGAUGGCAAGGUCCCUUCCAACUCUGUUAUUCUAUGCUAUUCUUCUUCUAUUUGGAGUUACCGAUCUGGCAGAAUAAGUGCACUCUGAGCCUCCGCAAUUAAACGGUGUCAUCUUUUGAGACCCAGGAAGGGUACAAUGUCUGUGGUGGCACCUUCUCUUUCGAAUUAGGGCCCCCAUGAGAUCCAUACAGCUCCCACUCUAAUGGUAUCCAGAAGGCCUUGAAAACCUGCCUGUUCUCCCAGAUAUUGGCGUAGGGUGGAUGGAGCUCCCCCUGUUUUUUUAUUAGUUGUCUGGAUUGCUGUCUUGCAAUUAUCUUGCAACUUGUUUUGGCCUAAUUUAUUGCAUUUCAUUGUUUUAAGUUGUGCUUAGUUCUGUGAGAAGCACAGAAUUUGUUGGAGUCCGGCAGCUUCAAAAGUAUAGUAAAUAAACCAAGCACAACACAAUAAUGCAUGAAC